ACUAUAUUCAGUUGAGAAUAGUCAACAUCGGAGAAGGCACUGCACUCUACAAUGAUGGAAGAUCCUAUGACUUAAUAUUAAUGAGAAGAUUUUUUAUUUAGGUCUCUUUAAUCCUAAUUACUCAUAACUAUUAUGACUAACCCUAAGAGCACAGGCUAGCUCAAAUCACCAAGCAACUAUAUCAACACUAAUCAACCAAAUUGGCCAAAAAAGCA
rnacentral:lncRNA from 1 species